GGGAAGUGGGGGCGGCCUUAACACAUGCAAGUCGAGCGGAAACGAGUUAUCUGAACCUUCGGGGAACGAUAACGGCGUCGAGCGGCGGACGGGUGAGUAAUGCCUAGGAAAUUGCCCUGAUGUGGGGGAUAACCAUUGGAAACGAUGGCUAAUACCGCAUGAUGCCUACGGGCCAAAGAGGGGGACCUUCGGGCCUCUCGCGUCAGGAUAUGCCUAGGUGGGAUUAGCUAGUUGGUGAGGUAAGGGCUCACCAAGGCGACGAUCCCUAGCUGGUCUGAGAGGAUGAUCAGCCACACUGGAACUGAGACACGGUCCAGACUCCUACGGGAGGCAGCAGUGGGGAAUAUUGCACAAUGGGCGCAAGCCUGAUGCAGCCAUGCCGCGUGUGUGAAGAAGGCCUUCGGGUUGUAAAGCACUUUCAGUCGUGAGGAAGGUGGUGUAGUUAAUAGCUGCAUUAUUUGACGUUAGCGACAGAAGAAGCACCGGCUAACUCCGUGCCAGCAGCCGCGGUAAUACGGAGGGUGCGAGCGUUAAUCGGAAUUACUGGGCGUAAAGCGCAUGCAGGUGGUUUGUUAAGUCAGAUGUGAAAGCCCGGGGCUCAACCUCGGAAUAGCAUUUGAAACUGGCAGACUAGAGUACUGUAGAGGGGGGGUAGAAUUUCAGGUGUAGCGGUGAAAUGCGUAGAGAUCUGAAGGAAUACCGGUGGCGAAAGGCGGCCCCCCUGGACAGAUACUGACACUCAGAUGCGAAAGCGUGGGGAGCAAACAGGAUUAGAUACCCUGGUAGUCCACGCCGUAAACGAUGUCUACUUGGAGGUUGUGGCCUUGAGCCGUGGCUUUCGGAGCUAACGCGUUAAGUAGACCGCCUGGGGAGUACGGUCGCAAGAUUAAAACUCAAAUGAAUUGACGGGGGCCCGCACAAGCGGUGGAGCAUGUGGUUUAAUUCGAUGCAACGCGAAGAACCUUACCUACUCUUGACAUCCAGAGAACUUUCCAGAGAUGGAUUGGUGCCUUCGGGAACUCUGAGACAGGUGCUGCAUGGCUGUCGUCAGCUCGUGUUGUGAAAUGUUGGGUUAAGUCCCGCAACGAGCGCAACCCUUAUCCUUGUUUGCCAGCGAGUAAUGUCGGGAACUCCAGGGAGACUGCCGGUGAUAAACCGGAGGAAGGUGGGGACGACGUCAAGUCAUCAUGGCCCUUACGAGUAGGGCUACACACGUGCUACAAUGGCGCAUACAGAGGGCGGCCAACUUGCGAAAGUGAGCGAAUCCCAAAAAGUGCGUCGUAGUCCGGAUUGGAGUCUGCAACUCGACUCCAUGAAGUCGGAAUCGCUAGUAAUCGUGGAUCAGAAUGCCACGGUGAAUACGUUCCCGGGCCUUGUACACACCGCCCGUCACACCAUGGGAGUGGGCUGCAAAAGAAGUAGGUAGUUUAACCUUCGGGGGGACGCUUACCACUUUGGGUUCCGAGGGGGG
rnacentral:rRNA from 1 species